UACGGAGGGUGCGAGCGUUGUCCGGAAUCAUUGGGCGUAAAGGGCGCGUAGGUGGCGGCUUAAGCGUGCGGUGAAAGCUCGGGGCUCAACCCCGGGCGUGCAGUGGAUACGGGCAGGCUGGAGGCAGGCAGGGGAGAAUGGAAUUCCCGGUGUAGCGGUGAAAUGCGCAGAUAUCAGGAGGAACACCGGUGGCGAAGGCGGGUCUCUGGGCCGUUACUGACGCUGAGGAGCGAAAGCGUGGGAGCGAACAGG
rnacentral:rRNA from 1 species